AGCGAACGCUGGCGGCAGGCCUAACACAUGCAAGUCGAACGAGCCCUUCGGGGUUAGUGGCGGACGGGUGAGUAACACGUGGGAACGUGCCUUUAGGUUCGGAAUAACUCAGGGAAACUUGUGCUAAUACCGAAUGUGCCCUUCGGGGGAAAGAUUUAUCGCCUUUAGAGCGGCCCGCGUCUGAUUAGCUAGUUGGGGAGGUAAAGGCUCACCAAGGCUACGAUCAGUAGCUGGUCUGAGAGGAUGACCAGCCACAUUGGGACUGAGACACGGCCCAAACUCCUACGGGAGGCAGCAGUGGGGAAUCUUGCGCAAUGGGCGAAAGCCUGACGCAGCCAUGCCGCGUGGAUGAUGAAGGUCUUAGGAUUGUAAAAUCCUUUCACCGGUGAAGAUAAUGACUGUAGCCGGAGAAGAAGCCCCGGCUAACUUCGUGCCAGCAGCCGCAGUAAUAC
rnacentral:rRNA from 1 species